rnacentral:rRNA from 1 species
UACGUAGGGUGCAAGCGUUAAUCGGAAUUACUGGGCGUAAAGCGUGCGCAGGCGGUUCGCUAAGACAGAUGUGAAAUCCCCGGGCUUAACCUGGGAACUGCAUUUGUGACUGGCGGGCUAGAGUAUGGCAGAGGGGGGUAGAAUUCCACGUGUAGCAGUGAAAUGCGUAGAGAUGUGGAGGAAUACCGAUGGCGAAGGCAGCCCCCUGGGCCACUACUGACGCUGAGAAGCGAAAGCAUGGGGAGCAAACCGG